UACGUAGGUGGCGAGCGUUGUCCGGAUUUACUGGGCGUAAAGCGCGCGCAGGCGGUUCGUUAAGUCCGGCGUGAAAGCUCCCGGCUCAACUGGGAGAGGUCAUUGGAUACUGGCGGACUUGAGGGAUGCAGAGGAAGGUGGAAUUCCCGGUGUAGUGGUGAAAUGCGUAGAGAUCGGGAGGAACACCAGUGGCGAAGGCGGCCUUCUGGGCAUUUCCUGACGCUGAGGCGCGAAAGCGUGGGGAGCGAACCGG
rnacentral:rRNA from 1 species